AACCAGUUAAGAAGAAUAAAGAAUCUAGUGAUAGCUCAGAUUCUGACUCAGAUUCAGAUUCUGAAGAAGAUACCAGUGCUAAAACAGUUUCUGUAAAGAAAGAAGAAUCUAGUGGUAGCUCAGAUAAUGACUCGGAUUCCGAUUCUGAUGAACCAGCAAAAUCUACUAUUCCUGCUAAGAGGCUUCUGACAACAGAGAAAAAGAGUGAACAUUCCAAGGAUGAUUCUGAUGAUAGUUCUGAUGAGAGUGAUGAAGAGCCUGCACUAAAGAAGCCUAAGGAAUUUUUGGUGUUUGCUUUUUCGUCUGAAGAUUUUGGUCUCUAAGGUUGCCAAGAAAGAAAGCAGUGGUGAUGAUGACAAUUCUGAAGAGAGCUCCAGCAGUGAUGAUGAAAAUGAUCAAUCGGUGUCAAUGUGAAAGUCCAAGCAGAACGAAGAACGAAGAUCUGAAUCACCCUCACCCCUCUAGAGAAAUCAGUUUACUCAUUCAAGUUCUGGAAAUUCCUUAUAGCUUUCUGAGUUUAC